GCUCAAUUAACGCUGCGGCAUCCUUACACAUGCAAGUCGAACGGUAACGCGGGGCAACCUGGCGACGAGUGGCGAACGGGUGAGUAAUACAUCGGAACGUGCCCAGUAGUGGGGGAUAGCCCGGCGAAAGCCGGAUUAAUACCGCAUACGACCUGAGGGUGAAAGCGGGGGACCGCAAGGCCUCGCGCUAUUGGAGCGGCCGAUGUCAGAUUAGCUAGUUGGUGGGGUAAAGGCCUACCAAGGCGACGAUCUGUAGCUGGUCUGAGAGGACGACCAGCCACACUGGGACUGAGACACGGCCCAGACUCCUACGGGAGGCAGCAGUGGGGAAUUUUGGACAAUGGGCGCAAGCCUGAUCCAGCCAUGCCGCGUGCAGGAAGAAGGCCUUCGGGUUGUAAACUGCUUUUGUCAGGGAAGAAAUCCCUUGGGUUAAUACCUCGGGGGGAUGACGGUACCUAAGAAAAGCACCGG
rnacentral:rRNA from 1 species